UGUUUUGCUGGGUUAUUAUUUUACAUUUUAAACACUUUUUGGGUAGUUUCAGUUUUCUAGGUGUUGGGUUAAAACUGCUGGGUUAUUAUGUUGGGUUGUUUGAAGAGGCUCACGUGCUUCGCGCCCUUGAUGUUUGAAUGUGCUCAGCAAUGGUCGUCGUGAAAGGACAGAGUCACUGAAGCAGUUGUUUCAAGGUAAGUUUAUAUGCUUUUGUGAACAUUUCAUGAAUAUAAACAAGAUUAUAACAUUUUGCGAGACAGCAACGUGUUAAUUUAUACUGACUAAGACGACGGGUGUAAUUUAGAGGAAUGACGACUGUUACCUCAGAUCGCCAUUUACACAAAUUGACUUGAAUAAUCGUUCUAAGAUGUUUGAUAUGGCAUAUUAAUAAAAUUAAUAAAACAGAUGUUACAAAAUCCCCAUCACACGGUUGAUUACGUUAACUCAUGACAAUUUCUGUAAGCCUUUAACAAAGCGAGUCAAAACCGGUACAGAGUGGACCUCCGCAACCCACUUCGGCUUUUUGUGUCACACACGCGCAUAGUUUUCCCUUUCCCAGCUUAACAAGCGAUAGCGACGCUGUUAAAUUAAAUUUAGCGACAAACGAAUUGCUUUCUUGUCAUUCGAUAUGUAAAGACAGACCGCAAAGGGCGAGGCGCGAGCAGAAGCACAUGUUAACUUUACCGGCGGCGCCGCGGCGGAGGAUCACGGAGCCGUCGUCUACGCUGUCACUGAGGCAAAGACAAGAAGCACAUUCACUUCACAGUCGGUACGGCAGAGUGUGCAGAGUUUUAACGUCCAUCCAUUGAUGAGGCUAGCAAGACCUUCAUACAACUUCAGCCAAUUGCAACAAAUGUGGUGGAAUUUCUUCUCUGGACAGAAUCCUCGAAACCCUUUCCUUUCGUCCUGGCCAUGGGAAACAUGCAGCAGAUCUCUCAAGCUUUUUUCUCAAUCAGUCUCUCUGAAUACGGAAGUGACUUAAACUGCAAUUCGGCCAAGAUGGCGAUGGCACGCACCGCCUACUUUAAGCUUCAAAAAUGCUCUUCACAAACCAAUGGGUGACGUCACAGACACUACUUGCAUAUUUUUUACAGUCUCUGGUUUAAAGGCAUUUUAAGUGCUUAAAAAAAUAAAUACCCCACGCAAUGUGCUUCUAUGGGAAUUCCUGUAGUCUGUCAUUUUUCAAAUGGAUGAAUCCCCUGCUGUUCGAUUCCUUUGUACAUCUUUGUUCGCGACGAGUAACUUUAAUAAAUGAAGUAUUUUUAGUCAAAUACAUUCCAUUCUGUGAAACUUAAAACAUUUGUUCUUUAAAAAAACUUUACACAUCUAUGAAUGAUUUUACUUUUAAUUUAACAAUUACAUUGUUUCUUUUUUACACUGCUGUAGUUUUGUUUAUGUACAUUUCAGUAUUUCAUAUAUAUACUGUAAAAUUACAAAUUCUGUCUUAAAUUCAAACGAAUUGAUUCAACCUGUUACAUUGUUACUUCAAUGUGCAUAAUUUAUGAUAUUUUAUAAAUAUAUUUAUACUUGGGUCAGUAAGCAGUCCUUUAAAUGAUUUUGCAACUUACAACUGUAAAAAUGUAAGAGUUUGUAGUUAUUUUGCAAUCAAAUAAACAUUUAUUUG